rnacentral:rRNA from 1 species
CAUAGGUUAAUGAGGCGAACCGGGGGAACUGAAACAUCUAAGUACCCCGAGGAAAAGAAAUCAACCGAGAUUCCCCCAGUAGCGGCGAGCGAACGGGGAGCAGCCCAGAGCCUGAAUCAGUGUGUGUGUUAGUGGAAGCGUCUGGAAAGGCGCGCGAUACAGGGUGACAGCCCCGUACACAAAAAUGCACAUGCUGUGAGCUCGAUGAGUAGGGCGGGACACGUGGUAUCCUGUCUGAAUAUGGGGGGACCAUCCUCCAAGGCUAAAUACUCCUGACUGACCGAUAGUGAACCAGUACCGUGAGGGAAAGGCGAAAAGAACCCCGGCGAGGGGAGUGAAAAAGAACCUGAAACCGUGUACGUACAAGCAGUGGGAGCACGCUUAGGCGUGUGACUGCGUACCUUUUGUAUAAUGGGUCAGCGACUUAUAUUCUGUAGCAAGGUUAACCGAAUAGGGGAGCCGAAGGGAAACCGAGUCUUAACUGGGCGUUAAGUUGCAGGGUAUAGACCCGAAACCCGGUGAUCUAGCCAUGGGCAGGUUGAAGGUUGGGUAACACUAACUGGAGGACCGAACCGACUAAUGUUGAAAAAUUAGCGGAUGACUUGUGGCUGGGGGUGAAAGGCCAAUCAAACCGGGAGAUAGCUGGUUCUCCCCGAAAGCUAUUUAGGUAGCGCCUCGUGAAUUCAUCUCCGGGGGUAGAGCACUGUUUCGGCAAGGGGGUCAUCCCGACUUACCAACCCGAUGCAAACUGCGAAUACCGGAGAAUGUUAUCACGGGAGACACACGGCGGGUGCUAACGUCCGUCGUGAAGAGGGAAACAACCCAGACCGCCAGCUAAGGUCCCAAAGUCAUGGUUAAGUGGGAAACGAUGUGGGAAGGCCCAGACAGCCAGGAUGUUGGCUUAGAAGCAGCCAUCAUUUAAAGAAAGCGUAAUAGCUCACUGGUCGAGUCGGCCUGCGCGGAAGAUGUAACGGGGCUAAACCAUGCACCGAAGCUGCGGCAGCGACGCUUAUGCGUUGUUGGGUAGGGGAGCGUUCUGUAAGCCUGCGAAGGUGUGCUGUGAGGCAUGCUGGAGGUAUCAGAAGUGCGAAUGCUGACAUAAGUAACGAUAAAGCGGGUGAAAAGCCCGCUCGCCGGAAGACCAAGGGUUCCUGUCCAACGUUAAUCGGGGCAGGGUGAGUCGACCCCUAAGGCGAGGCCGAAAGGCGUAGUCGAUGGGAAACAGGUUAAUAUUCCUGUACUUGGUGUUACUGCGAAGGGGGGACGGAGAAGGCUAUGUUGGCCGGGCGACGGUUGUCCCGGUUUAAGCGUGUAGGCUGGUUUUCCAGGCAAAUCCGGAAAAUCAAGGCUGAGGCGUGAUGACGAGGCACUACGGUGCUGAAGCAACAAAUGCCCUGCUUCCAGGAAAAGCCUCUAAGCAUCAGGUAACAUCAAAUCGUACCCCAAACCGACACAGGUGGUCAGGUAGAGAAUACCAAGGCGCUUGAGAGAACUCGGGUGAAGGAACUAGGCAAAAUGGUGCCGUAACUUCGGGAGAAGGCACGC